CAGCAACAAGCAGAGAAGCACAAGAUUGACAAGCACAAGCAGAAUGCUAGCUUUAUCAACGGUCAAAACGGCGGCGGCAUAGUAUGCGUCCGUCGGUCCCCGGGCGACGGCGCCGUGACGCUGUCGCUGCCCGCACAGCGCGACACGCCGCUAGCGCAGCUCGUGCAUAAUAAUAAACAUGUUACUGUCCUGAACGUAUGCGGCGAUCAGGCGGCGCCGACACAGAAGCCCGCCGAAGGUCGCAAGCAGACGUGGGAGCAGGCGCUUGCGCAUAUUAACCAACUCGC
rnacentral:lncRNA from 1 species